rnacentral:lncRNA from 1 species
GCGAUGUUCCAAAUUCUAACAUUUCAGACAAUGGGAGCUCCUCAAAUGGAUCACCUGAAGUUACAUUGGCAGAUGUUUCAUCCAUUCCUGCAGGCUUCUAUCCUGCAAUGAAGUACCACGAGCCUUGUGAAACAAAUCAAGUCAUGGAGACCAAUUUGCCUUUUUCUCAAGGUGAUCUCUUACCUCCAACGCAAGGAGCAGCAGCUUCUGGGAGCUCAAGUUCGGAUCUUGUUGGAUGCGAGACAGAUAAUGGAGAGUGUUUGGAUCCAAUAAUGGCUGUUUU